rnacentral:rRNA from 1 species
GCAUCGAUGAAGAACGCAGCCGAUUGCGAUAAGUUUUGGUGAUUGCAGAAUUCAGUGAAUCAUCGAAUCUUUGAACGCACAUUGCGCCCCUCGGUAUUCCGAGGGGCAUGCCUGUUCGAGCGUCAUUUCAACCCUCAAGCCUCCGGGCUUGGUGUUGGGACUCGCGUUAAUUCUUCUGGGCGGUGGCGUUCCCCAAAUUGAUUGGCGGUCACGUCCAGCUUCCAUAGCGUAGUAUUAAAACCCUCGUUACUGGUAAUCGUCGCGGCCACGCCGUUAAACCCCAACUUCUGAAUGUUGACCUCGGAUCAGGUAGGAAUACCCGCUGAACUUAAGCAUAUCAAUAAGCGGAGGA